rnacentral:rRNA from 1 species
UACGUACCGUACGAACGUUAUUCGGAAUUACUGGGCUUAAAGGGUUUGUAGGCGGCCUUGUAAGUCAGGUGUGAAAUCCCUCGGCUCAACCGAGGAACAGCGCUUGAUACUGCAAGGCUUGAGGGAGACAGGGGUAAGCGGAACUGAUGGUGGAGCGGUGAAAUGCGUUGAUAUCAUCAGGAACACCGGUGGCGAAAGCGGCUUACUGGGUCUCUUCUGACGCUGAGGAACGAAAGCUAGGGUAGCGAACGGGG